rnacentral:lncRNA from 1 species
ACAAAAAACUAAAAUAUUAUUAACUUAAUAAAUUCAUCCACUACAUAGUCAUUCAUUAUCUUUACAAUUAACCAUCUAAAGCUACCACAGUUCUUCAAUCAAAGUAUAUAUCUACUUAUAUAGAGAGAGUACACUUCAUAAUUUCGUCCCUUGUCUUUUGUAAACGUAGCAUGGAAAUUUGAUACUCAGUAUUGUAAGGCAGGUCGUAGAAGCAGUCUUCCUGCACAUAUUUAAAAAUAAUAGCAAGUCAGGAAAAUGAAGCAAAUAGGUUACCAGAUGCACUUAGUGCCAAAAUCAAUACACAAAGACAAUAGAGUUGUUACGUGGUACUAAUGUACACCGUAUUGCUCAUAAGCAGAAAAAGACAAAUAGGCAAUCACAAUAUCAUUUGCUACAAAUCCAAAUAGAAAAAGAACCUUUCAAUACGACUAUAUGAUUUCUCUGUUACAAGAAAAAAUUGAAAUCUUAAUCGGCCAUUUCAUGAAUUAAUUUCAAUAAGCAUAGUGGUAAACAUAUUUUCUGUUACAAGACUUGUAGAUUAUUAUUAUAUGUUGACCUCAAGUCAGAAUUCAGUCACAUUCAACAACCACAAGCAUCACACAAUCUUAAAUACCAUCACACAAUCUUAAAUAACAAUGUUUAGAAAUAUAGAAAGGACAACAAUUGUGAAAAAGUUGAGGCUAUUAGUCAACGUGGAAAAACUUUUCUUGAGACGACAAAUUUCCAUACAGUAUAUGCCCCAAAGAUGCUAGCUAUAAUCACAGACAUCAUAGAUUUAUUUACCAAGAAUUCAACAUGUUGCAGCAGACAUUGGAAAGACACAUUUAUUGAUAACUUGGGAAUUUUUAAGUGGUAAGGGCAGAACAUACCCAGGUCAGCAAGAUAAGUUCCUCCCCUUCAUAAUUGGGUCCUACAAGAAUAGUCCCUGAUGAAGAAUAGUCCCUGAGGGUUGGUAUGGUCACAUCUUAAAUGUCGAUCAUCUCUCAUUUUGAUCAUGAAACCAUCAGAACUGCUCUUCACCUCAACUAUAUUGAAAAAUAGAUGAAACGCAUAAAUAGAUUAUAUGCUAUUUUGCAUAUACUUCAUAUGUUAAACCGAGGAAGGUACAACUACUACAAAUAGACUAAUAGAUCAUCUUUAGCUUAAAUUUGACUAAAAAUAUCAGUUCAGAUCAUUAGAAGGAAACAACAUGAUCAUUUAGUAGGCAACUUCUCUUUUUCACCCUUAUUUUUUUAAUAAGUGGUUAAUUUGAACAAGACUUGGUAAUUAUAAUGUCUAGGAGGAACAAUUGAUUAUGAUAUUCCUUUAGAGGCCUAAACUUCUACACUUGUCAUACCUGGACAGUUUUAACCAACCCCAUUUCAUCAGCAAGAAUUCCAUUCAAAUGAUUAUUAUAUAGUGAAACCAGCCACCUUAGUCCAUUCAUUUGGUAUCUGAAUGCAAAACUAUAGUUAAAAAAUAACUCAAAAUAGUGGAUGAUAAGAGAAACUGUUCUAUGUUAACACCUUACGCAGAUUAUAUUGCAAUACUAGAGAAAAAAAGAGAACGUCAAUAAGGAAAAAAAGGCACUGAACUUUUAAGAAAAUAGAAUCAGUUAUUGCAACGAAAAAUAAACUCACUCUCUAAGUUUCCCACCCACAAGACAACUUGGCUGCUCAGGAACAUUUUCUUUUAUACUGCAGGAAUAAAAAAAAUACCAACAGUAUGAUACUGGAAGCAGUGUGAAUGUCAAUAUCAAAAAAUAAACUGUGUGACCUCCAAACUUUACUUUAAGAUAAAUAGAUUCAUGUCUAAAAUUUGACAUGGGCAUCAGACAAACUAGCUAAAAGAAAUUUAACCAAUACAAGUAACAUUGUUCCAUAAAUACUAUGAAGGAAAAACUACUCAAACUUCAAAGAAUUUUCUUCGCUCCAAAAAAUUCAACAACUUGACAGUCAAAUUGAUAAGAAUCUCAAGUAUUAUUGUAGAGAGAGAUAUCUCAUUCCAACCAGGAACUCAUCAAUGAGAAGAAGAUCACAUAUUACCUGCAAUUGAGGGCCCAAGGGCAACCAUACAUGCUCCAAUCAAUGUAGCAAGAUCAACUAUCUAUUGAAAAAGUAAACAUGCUCUUAGCACAAUCUAAAUCUAUACUGCAGUUUAGUAAAGAGGAGCUUAAUCAAAGAGGUGAAAAAAGCGACACCAAAUUGUCAGAUAUGUAUAAAUCUUAUCCCAAAAAAUUGUAUGACAUGUGCUAUAGAAUAUAACUGGCACUUAAAAACAUAAAUCAAUACCAAUUUUUGUUCAUGCCCUGGUCCUUUAUCCAAUACUGCAGUGCCAUAGCAGCAUGUUCCUGCAAUAUGGUAAUAACGAGAAAUGUGUAAAAUUUUACCAUGUUGGGCUUCAGCCAUAUGAGCUCAGAAAUAUACAUAGAUGUAGUUAAGGUUUCAAAAGCUAUUACCGUGAUGUGUCUGAAUACAUGAUGAACAGAAAACCCCCUUUUGCAUGUAUAAAGCUGCCGCCCUUAAGAGGAAUGUCACAAGGGUAAUGCAUAAGAAGUAGCUUACAAGGAGAAAGUAAAAAACAAAAGCAAAAUGAUGAUAAUAUGUAUAUAACAUGGCUUGGACCAAAUAAGCUACUCCCACGCUGAAUGUCAAAUAUAUUAAAGAAGAAAGAAGCACAUAAUUAAUUCAACCGAAAGCAAAAUGAUU